CUCUUUAAGACCACCUUUAAAGUAAAGCCUGCUCAAUGAUUACUUAAAUAGCUGCAGGAGACUGUACUAAGGUAGCGAAAUCAAUAGCUCUUUAAUUGAGAGCGAGUAUGAAUGGCUAAAUAAAGAGAGUUAGUCUCAUUAAAGCUAAUUGAACUUAAGGACUCAGUAAGAACUCUGAGCUAAUAUUUAGGGACGAGAAGACCCUAUAAGCUUAACUUUUAAGCCUAUUUAUUAGGCCUAAAAAUUUGAUUGGGGAAAUUAGGUAAGAAAAGACUUUACUUUAGAGCCAUUAUUAAUGACUACACGAACAAGUUACUUUAGGGAUAACAGCGUUAUAAAGGAAGAGGAGUCCUCAUCCUCUUACUUGUUUGCGACCUCGAUGUUGGAUUAGUCUAACUACUAAGGGAAAGACCUUAGAAAGCUGGACUGUUCGUCCAUUAAAAGACUACA
rnacentral:rRNA from 1 species